GUUUUUUUGCUCUGGAGAGGUUAAUGGGGAAGCUCAAGCCAGCUGAUGCUGGGGGGAUGGAUGCUACCUUUCAGUUUGCAUAUUGAGAUUGUUUACACACAUGAUUAGCUAAUAUAUUAAGCUUCUUAAAGGAAAAAGAAAGGUAAAGCUCAGGGUUUAGUUUUGAUUUGCAUUCCUCACCCACUCUCUCCUUCACAAUACACCACCUGGAGAACAGCAAGGACUUGGCCAUCCCUGCCAACAGCUGGCUUUUGGAGAAGGGAAACAAAUGGUUAAAAUUCCACCAAAGGCUGCAGUGUCCAGGUGAUUCAGCACAUCCAGCCUCACACCACAGCACCUCAGGGCAGAGAAACUCAGCUGCAGACCCAGCUGGCACUUCCCUGGGCUUGCAGGACAGAGACCAUCAUUCCCUGAUCCAGAGGCCUUCUGGGCAUCUCCAGGACACCCCUGCCAGGUCUUAGAGAAGGAAAGCUCAUCCAGCACACAAAGAGAUUGCAGUGAAACCAAAGGGAAGACCCAGAGGAAAGCAAAGAGAUGAGAAACAGAUCUCCAGAAGAAAGAGAAAAACCAUCUUUGUACCUGAGAGGAAUGAUUUGUCUUUACAAACAAGCUGUGGGUCUGCUGGUAGAUUAAACCAGCACUGAGAGGUAAAAGAAACAAUGGGAAGGAUUCCACUGAUUGAUGAAUGGAAAAUGAUAUUUGCCUUUACAAAUAAACUGCAGGUUUGCUGAUAAUUGAAAUUGGGU
rnacentral:lncRNA from 1 species